UGUCCCCUAAUUUGGGUGGAAAAAAUGUGUGGCCUAGUGGAGGUAAGGAAAAGAUCAAAAUACCCCUCCUUAAAAUAGAUAAAAUGUCUUGACUAGAUAGCAUGUACUCUAACAGAAAUAUAUUCUUCGUCCGAACACAAAAUUUAGUAAACUCAGUGACAUUGGAAAAAGAACUCAAAGAUUUUUCAUUAGAUAUCUCAUGGACCUCCUAACCUAUCUUGUACUUAAUUUGAAAGUGACUCAAAACUCAUAAUUGAAAACUAACUUGCAAAAAAAAACUCAAAUUGGUUAUUUCUAAUUUAGUUCUUUCUAACAUUAGCUCUUUCUAAGACUGAGGUGUUACACGAUCAUGGAGAACAACUUCCAACAUGUAAUAAAAUUUCCCAAAUCGGGGUUUCUUCCUCAUUUCACCAUUUUUGAACAUUGAGAGCUCUAAGGAGGCAAUUUUAAUGAGAGUUUUGAAGAUUAGUCGACUGGGAAAUGGUUAUCAGAAUUGAUGUCUAUGUCGAUGGAAAAUGGUUCAAGUAAUGUUUACACCGAUAAUGGGACAUAAUUUCGGGGAGUGAUGAUUAUGCUGAUGGUAAAUGAUUCAAGUGAUGAUUAUUAUGCGAUGGUAAAUAAUUCUGGCGAUUGAUGGUUAUGCCGAUGAGAAAAUGGUUUCAACGGAUUCUAAUCUUAGUCAAAUGUGCAGUGCAAAUUUAUAGUAUAUUUAAUACAUAAACUUUAUCUUAUUACAAUUCAUAUUUUAUUCAUUGAUUUGUAACAGUGGAUAAAAAUAAAAAGAUGAAUAAUUUCGAUGUGAAUUUAAAGUUGAUUUAGUCGAUGCAUUGACUCUAAA